GGGGCUGACUUGGAUUUCGACAGAUUUCUUGUCGCACAGAUAGCAUGCCAAGUGCUGCUUGUAAAACAGCAACAAAAAUAACUGUAAACAACACAGAUUACGCUCCAGCUUACGCUAAAGCUGCGUGAGUUAAUCUCCUUUUGGAGCUGGACUGAUUAGAAUUUCUAGCGUUUUAAUCACUCCAUAACCUUAAGCUAGACGCUUUUAAAAGGUGGUUCGCCUUUUAAACUAAGAAACAAGAACUCUUGAAACUACCUCAAGGUUUUAGAAAGUUGGACCAGAGCUAGUUUUAAGGCUAAAAAAUUAACCAAUUUUCUAAGCAUUGUAGAAGUUUGUGUUUAGGGCAAGAUUUUUGGACUGGGGUUCGAUUCCCCACAGCUCCACCA
rnacentral:tmRNA from 1 species